rnacentral:rRNA from 1 species
AUUGAACGCUGGCGGCAGGCCUAACACAUGCAAGUCGAGCGGAUGAAGGGAGCUUGCUCCUGGAUUCAGCGGCGGACGGGUGAGUAAUGCCUAGGAAUCUGCCUGGUAGUGGGGGAUAACGCCCGGAAACGGGCGCUAAUACCGCAUACGUCCUGAGGGAGAAAGUGGGGGAUCUUCGGACCUCACGCUAUCAGAUGAGCCUAGGUCGGAUUAGCUAGUUGGUGGGGUAAAGGCCUACCAAGGCGACGAUCCGUAACUGGUCUGAGAGGAUGAUCAGUCACACUGGAACUGAGACACGGUCCAGACUCCUACGGGAGGCAGCAGUGGGGAAUAUUGGACAAUGGGCGAAAGCCUGAUCCAGCCAUGUCGCGUGUGUGAAGAAGGUCUUCGGAUUGUAAAGCACUUUAAGUUGGGAGGAAGGGCAGUAAGUUAAUACCUUGCUGUUUUGACGUUACCAACAGAAUAAGCACCGGCUAACUUCGUG